AAUGGGGAAGUCCCAUACGGCAUGCUCCCUCUUAAUCCCCCAGGGCUUGAUCGCAGCAAGGGUAGGAGGUUGUAGCGGCGCGAUAUGGUAAGCUUCCCCACC
rnacentral:SRP_RNA from 1 species